AAGUAAAGAAUUCGGCAAAAAUAAUGUUCGCCUGUUUAACAAAAACAUGUCUUUUUGAAUUAAAUAUAAAGUCUAACCUGCCCACUGAAAAUUUUAAAUGGCCGCAGUAUUUUGACUGUGCAAAGGUAGCAUAAUCAUUAGUCUUUUAAUUGAAGGCUGGAAUGAAUGGUUGGACGAAAUAUUAACUGUUUCAUUUAAAUUUUUUAUAGAAUUUUAUUUUUUAGUCAAAAAGCUAAAAUAUAUUUAAAAGACGAGAAGACCCUAUAAAUCUUUAUAUUUUAUUUAUUUUAAUUAUGAAGAUUAAUUUGAUUUUAAUAAAUUAAAAUAUUUUAUUGGGGUGAUAUUAAAAUUUAAAAAACUUUUAAUUUUUAAAAACAUUAAUUUAUGAAUAAUUGAUCCAUUAAUAAUGAUUAAAAAAUUAAGUUACUUUAGGGAUAACAGCGUAAUUUUUUUGGAGAGUUCAUAUCGAUAAAAAAGAUUGCGACCUCGAUGUUGGAUUAAGAUAUAAUUUUGGGUGAAGCCGUUCAAAUUUUAAGUCUGUUCGACUUUUAAAUUCUUACAUGAUCUGAGUUCAAACCGGUGUAAGCCAGGUUGGUUUCUAUCUUUAAAAAAUUAUAAUAUUUUAGUACGAAAGGACCAAAUAUUAAAAUAAUUAUAUUUUAAAAUAUGAAUAUUAUUAAUAUAAACUAUUUUGGCAGAUUAGUGCAAUAAAUUUAGAAUUUAUUUAUGUAAAUUAUUUUACAAAUAGUACUUGUUUUAUAUAGAAUUUGUUUUAUCAUUAAUUGGAAGUUUAUUAUUAAUUAUUUGUGUAUUAGUUAGUGUUGCUUUUUUAACUUUAUUAGAACGAAAAGUUUUAGGUUAUAUUCAAAUUCGUAAAGGUCCUAAUAAAGUUGGUUUAAUAGGAAUUCCUCAACCUUUUUGUGAUGCGAUUAAAUUAUUUACUAAGGAACAAACUUAUCCUUUAUUAUCUAAUUAUUUAAGAUAUUAUAUUUCUCCUAUUUUUUCUUUAUUUUUAUCUUUAUUUGUUUGGAUAUGUAUACCUUUUUUUGUUAAAUUAUAUUCUUUUAAUUUAGGUGGUUUAUUUUUUUUAUGUUGUACUAGAUUAGGGGUUUAUACUGUUACGGUAGCAGGUUGAUUAUCUAAUUCUAAUUAUGCCUUAUUAGGAGGACUAUGAGCUGUGGCUCAAACUAUUUUUUAUGAAGUUAGAUUAGCUUUAAUUUUGUUAUCUUUUAUUUUUUUAAUUGGAAGUUAUAAUAUAAUUUAUUUUUUUCAUUAUCAAAUUUAUAUAUGAUUUUUAAUUGUUUUAUUUCCUAUAGCUUUAGUUUGAUUAACAAGUUCAUUAGCUGAAACAAAUCGUACACCUUUUGAUUUUGCUGAAGGAGAAUCUGAAUUAGUUUCAGGGUUUAUUGUAGAAUAUAGAAGAGAAGGAUUUGCUUUCAUUUUUAUAGCUGAAUAUGCAAGAAGUUUAUUUAUAAGAAUGUUACUUUGUGUAAUUUUUUAGGUUUUGAUAUAUUUAAUUUAUUAUUUUAUGUAAAAUUAACUAUUAUUUCUUUUGUAUUUAUUUGAGCUCGUGGUACUUUACCUCGAUUUCGUUAUGAUAAAUUAA